rnacentral:rRNA from 1 species
CAGUAGCCGCGGGAAUACGGAGGGUGCAAGCGUUAAUCGGAAUUACUGGGCGUAAAGCGUGCGUAGGCGGUUCGUUAAGUCUGUUGUGAAAGCCCCGGGCUCAACCUGGGAAUGGCAAUGGAUACUGGCGAGCUAGAGUGUGUCAGAGGAUGGUGGAAUUCCCGGUGUAGCGGUGAAAUGCGUAGAGAUCGGGAGGAACAUCAGUGGCGAAGGCGGCCAUCUGGGACAACACUGACGCUGAGGCACGAAAGCGUGGGGAGCAAACAGGAUUAGAUACCCCUGUAGUCCCUGUCUCUUAUAC